rnacentral:sRNA from 1 species
GUUGCGUUAGCGAUUGCAGUGGCAUCCUUUUUAUUUUCAACUUGUUUCAGUAUCUAUCAUAAAAAAAUAAAAUUAGUUCUAAAUAAGAAAAGAUACUGAAACAAGUUAAGCAUAAAUAAAAAGAUAUAACGAAAAGCGCGACCUGAA